GACGAACGCGGCGGCGUGCUUAACACAUGCAAGUCGAACGAAGAGCGAUGGAAGCUUGCUUCUAUCAAUCUUAGUGGCGAACGGGUGAGUAACGCGUAAUCAACCUGCCCUUCAGAGGGGGACAACAGUUGGAAACGACUGCUAAUACCGCAUACGAUCUAAUCUCGGCAUCGAGGAUGGAUGAAAGGUGGCCUCUAUUUAUAAGCUAUCACUGAAGGAGGGGAUUGCGUCUGAUUAGCUAGUUGGAGGGGUAACGGCCCACCAAGGCGAUGAUCAGUAGCCGGUCUGAGAGGAUGAACGGCCACAUUGGGACUGAGACACGGCCCAGACUCCUACGGGAGGCAGCAGUGGGGAAUCUUCCGCAAUGGACGAAAGUCUGACGGAGCAACGCCGCGUGAGUGAUGACGGCCUUCGGGUUGUAAAGCUCUGUUAAUCGGGACGAAAGGCCUUCUUGCGAAUAGUUAGAAGGAUUGACGGUACCGGAAUAGAAAGCCACGGCUAACUACGUGCCAGCAGCCGCGGUAAUACGUAGGUGGCAAGCGUUGUCCGGAAUUAUUGGGCGUAAAGCGCGCGCAGGCGGAUUGGUCAGUCUGUCUUAAAAGUUCGGGGCUUAACCCCGUGAUGGGAUGGAAACUGCCAAUCUAGAGUAUCGGAGAGGAAAGUGGAAUUCCUAGUGUAGCGGUGAAAUGCGUAGAUAUUAGGAAGAACACCAGUGGCGAAGGCGACUUUCUGGACGAAAACUGACGCUGAGGCGCGAAAGCCAGGGGAGCGAACGGG
rnacentral:rRNA from 1 species